AGAGUUUGAUCAUGGCUCAGAACGAACGCUGGCGGCGUGCUUAACACAUGCAAGUCGAGUGCGCGUCUGUAGCAAUACAGAUGGCGCACGGCGCACGGGUGCGUAACACGUGGGUAACCUGCCCUUUAGUGGGGAAUAACCUCGCGAAAGCGAGGCUAAUUCCGCAUAAGAUCCGCAAGGAUGAAAGCCGUAAGGCGCUGAUGGAGGGGCCCGCGCACGAUUAGCUAGUUGGUAGGGUAACGGCCUACCAAGGCUAUGAUCGUUAGCUAGUCUGAGAGGAUGGCCAGCCACACUGGAACUGAGACACGGUCCAGACUCCUACGGGAGGCAGCAGUGGGGAAUCUUGCACAAUGGGCGAAAGCCUGAUGCAGCGACGCCGCGUGGGGGAUGAAGCUUCUCGGAGUGUAAACCCCUUUCGACCCGGACGAAUACCUCGCAAGAGGGGUGACGGUACGGGUAUAAGAAGCCCCGGCUAACUACGUGCCAGCAGCCGCGGUAAGACGUAGGGGGCCAGCGUUGUUCGGAAUUACUGGGUGUAAAGGGUUCGUAGGCGGUGUGGCAAGUCGGGAGUGAAAUUUCUGGGCUCAACUCAGAGACUGCUUCCGAAACUGCUGUGCUUGAGUGUGGGAGAGGCGCGUGGAAUUGCAGGUGUAGCGGUGAAAUGCGUAGAUAUCUGCAGGAACACCCGAGGCGAAAGCGGCGCGCUGGACCACUACUGACGCUGAGGAACGAAAGCUAGGGGAGCAAACAGGAUUAGAUACCCUAGUAGUCC
rnacentral:rRNA from 1 species